CUAUGCGCCUUGCCAGCCCGCUCAGAAACUCAAAGGAAUUGACGGGGGCCCGCACAAGCGGAGGAGCAUGUGGUUUAAUUCGAUGAUACGCGAGGAACCUUACCUGGGCUCGAACGUAAGAUGACUGUAGGUGAAAGCUUACAUCUCUUCGGAGCAUUUUACGAGGUGCUGCAUGGUUGUCGUCAGCUCGUGCCGUGAGGUGUCGGGUUAAGUCCCGUAACGAGCGCAACCCUUGUCCUUAGUUACCAGCACGUUAUGGUGGGCACUCUAAGGAGACUGCCGGUGACAAACCGGAGGAAGGUGGGGAUGACGUCAAGUCAUCAUGGCCCUUACGGCCUGGGCUACACACGUGCUACAAUGGUCGGUACAAAGGGUUGCCAAGCCGCGAGGUGGAGCUAAUCCCAUAAAACCGAUCGUAGUCCGGAUCGCAGUCUGCAACUCGACUGCGUGAAGUCGGAAUCGCUAGUAAUCGUGAAUCAGAAUGUCACGGUGAAUACGUUCCCGGGCCUU
rnacentral:rRNA from 1 species